rnacentral:snoRNA from 1 species
UGUGCCUCUCGAAUAACCAGUUGCUUUGAUUAGUAUGUUUGCAUUUGGUUCAGACAGGGGCACAUAACAAAUGGGAUCAUUUGAGGGAAGGGAUCUUGUCUUUGUUCAUCCCUUCUUAGAUUGAUUCCUACAAUU